AACCACUUUGAGUUUCAGUCAGCCACAUGCCCCACGGCCACCAUUCAGCCACCUACAGACUUUCUGCCCACUUAUGGCCCAGAACCUCGGCCUCAGCUUCGACCUGAGUCCCUCCCAGAGCCUCAGCCUGAAUCUCAAUCUGGCCCUGAGUUUCCUCUGCCCAGCAUCCCUGCCUGGACUGGCCUGAGAUUCCUGAACCAGGUCCUGCCUCUGGCAUGUGUCAGCACAACCCUCAG